rnacentral:rRNA from 1 species
AUGGACAAGCUGAGGAGAAAUUUCCUUUGGUGUGCGGAGGAUGAAGCUGUAGGAAGGAAAUGUCUGGUCAGCUGGAAGCGAGUCUGUGCUCCUAAGCGUCUUGGUGGUCUAGGAGUGAAGGACAUACUUUGUUUCAGCAGGGCGUUGCGUUUGCGAUGGGAAUGGUUUCGGUGGGCUGAAGAGGAUAGGCCGUGGAAGGGCACAGCGACGUCGUGCGACGACACGGAUCGGCAGCUCUUCUCCAGUUGCACUAGUAUCGAGUUGGGAGAUGGUAGCAUAGCUGCCUUCUGGACUGACAGGUGGCUCAACGGCGAAGCCCCACUGCAUUUAGCACCUGAUAUUUUCAAGCUGGCUAGGUUCAAAAAGCUCACGGUCAAAGAGGCGCUCAGUACAGCGCGAUGGAUGCAAGGACUUCAGCGCUUGGACAGUUACGAGCAGCUAUGUCAAUUCGUUGGCCUGUGGGAAAAAUUGCAAUCGGUGAAUCUUUCAUACCAGAGAGACAAAAUCAAGUGGAACAUCACUGCCAAUGGGAGAUACUCGGCGUGUUCUGCUUAUCAAUUCUUGGCCAGGAUUGAGCAACCUGGGAUUGCCCGCGUGUGGAGGUGCAAGUUAGAAGGGAAGGUAAAGUUCUAUAUGUGGCUUUUAGUGCAGAACAGAAAUUGGACUGCCGACCGGCUGCAGGCCAGAGGAUGGCCUCACAACGACUCUUGUAGGCUUUGUGACCAGGCGCCGGAAACCGCGGCGCAUCUCACACUGCAGUGCUGCUAUGCGAGACAGGUUUGGCAUCUUGCUCUAGGGGCCAACGGCUGGGUGCAAAAUGAUGGGUUGUCGACAACCUCAGUUUCGGAAUGGUGGAGGAUUUUUUGCACGCACAGCGGCGCGAUUGCUAGGAUUGAGGCUGAUUUAACUUUGGCGGCUUACAUUGCCUGGCAUCUCUGGAAGGAGAGAAACAGAAGAGUUUUUGAAGAUAAGGAGCUGACUCCUCGGGCCGUGGUGAACCUGAUUAGUGAUGAUGUUAAAUUGCUUAACGAGGCUUUGAAUCCUUCCACUACGGCUGAGCGAUAG